AUUGAACGCUGGCGGCAGGCCUAACACAUGCAAGUCGAGCGGUGCGGCGGACGGGCGAGUAAUGCCUAGGUAUCUGCCUGGUCUUGGGGGAUAACGUCCGGACACGGACGCUAAUACCGCCUCCUUUCUGCUGCGCCUAGGUCGUAUUAGCUAGUUGGUGGGGUAAAGGCCUACCAAGGCGACGAGCCGUAACUGGUCUGAGAGGAUGAUCAGUCACACUGGAACUGAGACACGGUCCAGACUCCUACGGGAGGCAGCAGUGGGGAAUAUUGGACAAUGGGCGAAAGCCUGAUCCAGCAAUGCCGCGUGGGUGAAGAAGGUCUUCGGAUUGUAAAGCACUUUAAGUUGGGAGGCGUUACCAACAGAAUAAGCACCGGCUAACUUCGUGCCAGCAGCCGCGGUAAUAC
rnacentral:rRNA from 1 species